GGAUGGGUACCAAAGCGGUCAAAUGGGACAGACUGUAAAUCUGUUGGCUCACGCCUUCGAAGGUUCAAAUCCUUCCCCAUCCA
rnacentral:tRNA from 1 species